rnacentral:misc_RNA from 1 species
AAAGCAUGUUUAUCCUCAAUUGAGGAUAUUGGAUUGUGUGAAAGCACAUUCGUAUGAUAUGAUUGAGAGUUGGUACUCAAUGUAUCUCUAAAAAGUCAAUGGCUUAUUUACAACUUUCAGCAAUGGAUCUCUUGGUUCUCGCAUCGAUGAAGAACGCAGUGAAAUGCGAUAACUGGUGUGAAUUGCAUCUAUGUAACUCUAAUUUACGAAUAACACCAAGUGAAUCAUCGAGUCUUUGAACGCAAUUGCGCCCUCUCGGUCGCUUCCAAUUGGGGGUUGACUCAUAGGGGGUACAUCUGUUUGAGGGUCAUUUGUACCUUCUCAAAGGAUUUUUUUUUUUUUUUUUUUU